CUACGGGGUGCAGCAGUGGGGAAUAUUGCACAAUGGGCGCAAGCCUGAUGCAGCAACGCCGCGUGAACGAUGAAGGCCUUCGGGUUGUAAAGUUCUUUUCUUAGGGAAGAAUAAAUGACGGUACCUAAGGAAUCAGCCCCGGCUAACUACGUGCCAGCAGCCGCGGUAAUACGUAGGGGGCAAGCGUUAUCCGGAAUCACUGGGCGUAAAGGGAGUGUGAGGCGGUCAAACAAGUCAGGGGUGAAAGGCAUCGGCUCAACCGAUGUAAGCCUUUGAAACUGUUUGACUUGAGUGCAGGAGAGGUAAGUGGAAUUCCUAGUGUAGCGGUGAAAUGCGUAGAUAUUAGGAGGAACACCAGUGGCGAAGGUGACUUACUGGACUGUAACUGACGCUGAGGCUCGAAAGCGUGGGGAGCGAACAGGAUUAGAUACCCCAGUAGUC
rnacentral:rRNA from 1 species